UUGCCAUGCUAAAUCCACUUGGCCCGGACGCGGCCAUGACGAUUAAGGCUAGACGCACCGGCGUGUCAGUUGAGUAUAGAGAGAACACCAUCUUCAGAGCUGCCACCCGUCGGUGGUAUCCUUUGCCGUCAUUGUUCCCUAUAAACGAGUCAGAUUUGAGGGGGGUAAUACUCAGUCACUGACCCCGAUCUAUCCGUCUAGCUAAGUUUGGGAGACACUUAGAAUUAUUGGUGCACGUCAUAAGCAUAUCAUGGAGUAGCUACCAUUGGAGCUAACACUCAGGUAUGGCACCAGUGAUGGUACGUCGGUGACGAUGACCUAUAUUUUC
rnacentral:lncRNA from 1 species